AUUGAACGCUGUCGGCAGGCCUAACACAUGCAAGUCGAGCGAGCGGCGGACGGGUGAGUAAUGUAUGGGGAUCUGCCCGAUCGAGGGGGAUAACUACUGGAAACGGUGGCUCAUACCGCAUACUAUCGGAUGAACCCAUAUGGGAUUAGCUAGUAGGGGGGGUAACGGCUCACCUAGGCGACGAUCUCUAGCUGGUCUGAGGUGAUGAUCAUCAACACUGUGAUUGAGAGACGGCUCAGACUCCUACGGUAGGCAGCAGGGGGGAAGAUGGCACAAUGGGUGCAAGCCUGAUGCAGCCAUGCCGCGUGUAUGAAGAAGGCUUUAGGGUUGUAAAGUACUUUCAGCGGGGAGGCGUUACUCGCAGAAGAAGCACCGGCUAACUCCGUGCCAGCCGCCGCGGUAAUAC
rnacentral:rRNA from 1 species